GCCAGUGUGGUUUAGUGGUUUGAGUGUUGGACUAUGACUCUGGAGACAAGGGAUCAAUUCCCCACUUGACC